GGUUAAGCGACUAAGCGUACACGGUGGAUGCCCUGGCAGUCAGAGGCGAUGAAGGGCGUGCUAAUCUGCGAUAAGCGCCGGUAAGGUGAUAUGAACCGUUAUAACCGGCGAUACCCGAAUGGGGAAACCCAGUGUGACUCGUCACACUAUCAUUAACUGAAUCCAUAGGUUAAUGAGGCGAACCGGGGGAACUGAAACAUCUAAGUACCCCGAGGAAAAGAAAUCAACCGAGAUUCCCCCAGUAGCGGCGAGCGAACGGGGAGGAGCCCAGAGCCUGAAUCAGCAUGUGUGUUAGUGGAAGCGUCUGGAAAGGCGCGCGAUACAGGGUGACAGCCCCGUACACAAAAGCGCAUGUGCUGUGAGCUCGAUGAGUAGGGCGGGACACGUGGUAUCCUGUCUGAAUAUGGGGGGACCAUCCUCCAAGGCUAAAUACUCCUGACUGACCGAUAGUGAACCAGUACCGUGAGGGAAAGGCGAAAAGAACCCCGGCGAGGGGAGUGAAAAAGAACCUGAAACCGUGUACGUACAAGCAGUGGGAGCACCCUUUGGGUGUGACUGCGUACCUUUUGUAUAAUGGGUCAGCGACUUAUAUUCUGUAGCAAGGUUAACCGAAUAGGGGAGCCGGAGGGAAACCGAGUCUUAAUUGGGCGUUAAGUUGCAGGGUAUAGACCCGAAACCCGGUGAUCUAGCCAUGGGCAGGUUGAAGGUUGGGUAACACUAACUGGAGGACCGAACCGACUAAUGUUGAAAAAUUAGCGGAUGACCUGUGGCUGGGGGUGAAAGGCCAAUCAAACCGGGAGAUAGCUGGUUCUCCCCGAAAGCUAUUUAGGUAGCGCCUCGUGAAUUCAUCUCCGGGGGUAGAGCACUGUUUCGGCUAGGGGGCCAUCCCGGCUUACCAACCCGAUGCAAACUGCGAAUACCGGAGAAUGUUAUCACGGGAGACACACGGCGGGUGCUAACGUCCGUCGUGAAGAGGGAAACAACCCAGACCGCCAGCUAAGGUCCCAAAGUCAUGGUUAAGUGGGAAACGAUGUGGGAAGGCCCAGACAGCCAGGAUGUUGGCUUAGAAGCAGCCAUCAUUUAAAGAAAGCGUAAUAGCUCACUGGUCGAGUCGGCCUGCGCGGAAGAUGUAACGGGGCUAAACCAUGCACCGAAGCUGCGGCAGCGACACUGUGUGUUGUUGGGUAGGGGAGCGUUCUGUAAGCCUGCGAAGGUGGCCUGUGAGGGUUGCUGGAGGUAUCAGAAGUGCGAAUGCUGACAUAAGUAACGAUAAAGCGGGUGAAAAGCCCGCUCGCCGGAAGACCAAGGGUUCCUGUCCAACGUUAAUCGGGGCAGGGUGAGUCGACCCCUAAGGCGAGGCCGAAAGGCGUAGUCGAUGGGAAACGGGUUAAUAUUCCCGUACUUGGUGUUACUGCGAAGGGGGGACGGAGAAGGCUAUGUUGGCCGGGCGACGGUUGUCCCGGUUUAAGCGUGUAGGUGUGUGUUCCAGGUAAAUCCGGUUCACUUUAACACUGAGGCGUGACGACGAGGCACUACGGUGCUGAAGCAACAAAUGCCCUGCUUCCAGGAAAAGCCUCUAAGCAUCAGGUAACAUCAAAUCGUACCCCAAACCGACACAGGUGGUCAGGUAGAGAAUACCAAGGCGCUUGAGAGAACUCGGGUGAAGGAACUAGGCAAAAUGGUGCCGUAACUUCGGGAGAAGGCACGCUGACACGUAGGUGAAGUGAUUUACUCAUGGAGCUGAAGUCAGUCGAAGAUACCAGCUGGCUGCAACUGUUUAUUAAAAACACAGCACUGUGCAAACACGAAAGUGGACGUAUACGGUGUGACGCCUGCCCGGUGCCGGAAGGUUAAUUGAUGGGGUCAGCGCAAGCGAAGCUCCUGAUCGAAGCCCCGGUAAACGGCGGCCGUAACUAUAACGGUCCUAAGGUAGCGAAAUUCCUUGUCGGGUAAGUUCCGACCUGCACGAAUGGCGUAAUGAUGGCCAGGCUGUCUCCACCCGAGACUCAGUGAAAUUGAACUCGCUGUGAAGAUGCAGUGUACCCGCGGCAAGACGGAAAGACCCCGUGAACCUUUACUAUAGCUUGACACUGAACAUUGAGCCUUGAUGUGUAGGAUAGGUGGGAGGCUUUGAAGUGUGGACGCCAGUCUGCAUGGAGCCGACCUUGAAAUACCACCCUUUAAUGUUUGAUGUUCUAACGUGGACCCGUUACCCGGGUUGCGGACAGUGUCUGGUGGGUAGUUUGACUGGGGCGGUCUCCUCCUAAAGAGUAACGGAGGAGCACGAAGGUUGGCUAAUCCUGGUCGGACAUCAGGAGGUUAGUGCAAUGGCAUAAGCCAGCUUGACUGCGAGCGUGACGGCGCGAGCAGGUGCGAAAGCAGGUCAUAGUGAUCCGGUGGUUCUGAAUGGAAGGGCCAUCGCUCAACGGAUAAAAGGUACUCCGGGGAUAACAGGCUGAUACCGCCCAAGAGUUCAUAUCGACGGCGGUGUUUGGCACCUCGAUGUCGGCUCAUCACAUCCUGGGGCUGAAGUAGGUCCCAAGGGUAUGGCUGUUCGCCAUUUAAAGUGGUACGCGAGCUGGGUUUAGAACGUCGUGAGACAGUUCGGUCCCUAUCUGCCGUGGGCGCUGGAGAACUGAGGGGGGCUGCUCCUAGUACGAGAGGACCGGAGUGGACGCAUCACUGGUGUUCGGGUUGUCAUGCCAAUGGCACUGCCCGGUAGCUAAAUGCGGAAGAGAUAAGUGCUGAAAGCAUCUAAGCACGAAACUUGCCCCGA
rnacentral:rRNA from 1 species